rnacentral:lncRNA from 1 species
AGCUAGCCGGGUGAGAAGUAGGACAACAGUCAGAAUCAGAGAAUUUAUCACUUGGCACUUACUCUUUCUCUUUUUGAUCGGAUUCAGCCCCAGACCUUGGGUUAAGCUUUUCCCGGGUUUCCUCUUGAAGCGGCGCAGCCCCAAGUACCAUUUGCCUAUCUCCCACUUCCCAUUGUGCUUUUGAUGGAACCUCUCAAUCGACGGAAAUGCCCCGGUAAGAGCUAUGGACUAACUUCUUUACAGGCAGAGUUAGCAAAGGUACAGCCAGUCCCUCUUUUUUGCCCCUAAGGAACGAAGGACCACCAGGCGAGGAACUCACCGAUAAAGAUUAAGAAAGGAAGGAGCGCCGCUUGCACCCAAUCAAUGGGCCAGCGAAGGUCGGUCCUCUAUUUUAUGGUAUUAUAGUGGAGUCGAAGGACCUACGGGACGCUUACCUCUUAGCAACGAGAUGUGUGCUUUCAGUAAGCGAAGAAGGAAGGGACUCGAGCUUUCAGUUCCGUGAAGAGAACUGAUUCACCAAACCAAACCGUUCAAAAACGACAGUUCGGGCUUCUCUAAACUUUAUGAUGUGAACAGUUCUUGCUUUCAAGCCGUGUUAACCCUAUUAAAUGUCAGUUAGUAAUCGCCAAGCCUCAUGCUGUCGGUAUUGGAAACGUCUUCAGUUCUUUUAUUCAUUCCGUUUAAUCGUAUUUGUAUUUUGAUCGGGGAACGAUGUGGAUUGGUCGGCUCUAUAAGGGAGGAGACAGGAGCUCCAGCCUAGAGACGGUCCUUAGGCCGGACAGAGGUCUGAGGAAAGCCCCGGAAAGGUGGGCUUCACCUUUUUCUCUUCUGUAGCCUUCUAAGGCGAGGCCACCCUAUAUCUAUUCAGGUCUGAGGUGGAGGAGGAGAGCGGGUAUGAGGGCUCCUUCUACCCCUUCUAUGACGAAAGACCUAGGUUGAUUGAUGCCGUGGAUGGUAUAAACUCUGGUUUCCAUUUGCUA